AGAGUUUGAUCAUGGCUCAGAUUGAACGCUGGCGGCAGGCUUAACACAUGCAAGUCGAGCGGGGGAAGGUAGCUUGCUACCGGACCUAGCGGCGGACGGGUGAGUAAUGCUUAGGAAUCUGCCUAUUAGUGGGGGACAACAUCUCGAAAGGGAUGCUAAUACCGCAUACGUCCUACGGGAGAAAGCAGGGGAUCUUCGGACCUUGCGCUAAUAGAUGAGCCUAAGUCGGAUUAGCUAGUUGGUGGGGUAAAGGCCUACCAAGGCGACGAUCUGUAGCGGGUCUGAGAGGAUGAUCCGCCACACUGGGACUGAGACACGGCCCAGACUCCUACGGGAGGCAGCAGUGGGGAAUAUUGGACAAUGGGGGGAACCCUGAUCCAGCCAUGCCGCGUGUGUGAAGAAGGCCUUAUGGUUGUAAAGCACUUUAAGCGAGGAGGAGGCUACUUUAGAUAAUACCUAGAGAUAGUGGACGUUACUCGCAGAAUAAGCACCGGCUAACUCUGUGCCAGCAGCCGCGGUAAUACAGAGGGUGCAAGCGUUAAUCGGAUUUACUGGGCGUAAAGCGCGCGUAGGCGGCUAAUUAAGUCAAAUGUGAAAUCCCCGAGCUUAACUUGGGAAUUGCAUUCGAUACUGGUUAGCUAGAGUGUGGGAGAGGAUGGUAGAAUUCCAGGUGUAGCGGUGAAAUGCGUAGAGAUCUGGAGGAAUACCGAUGGCGAAGGCAGCCAUCUGGCCUAACACUGACGCUGAGGUGCGAAAGCAUGGGGAGCAAACAGGAUUAGAUACCCUGGUAGUCCAUGCCGUAAACGAUGUCUACUAGCCGUUGGGGCCUUUGAGGCUUUAGUGGCGCAGCUAACGCGAUAAGUAGACCGCCUGGGGAGUACGGUCGCAAGACUAAAACUCAAAUGAAUUGACGGGGGCCCGCACA
rnacentral:rRNA from 1 species